rnacentral:misc_RNA from 1 species
AGUGCUUUACUUUCAAUAAAAUAUAUUCACUUAAAAACAACUUCAGCAACAAAUCUAAUCCUAGAAGGUUUUAGACUAUCUUGAUAGGAGUGAAUCCUAAAUCCUACUACCGUGAGGCCCAUAAUUCUAUAUUCUGUAUAAUUCUUUUGCAACCAAGUUAAAACCCAUCUGCCUUGAUCAGAAACCUUCAAUUGAUUUGCUACAGUUAAUAACCAUUAGUGGCAUCAAUUGGAAGAAUGAUGUGAUAGGCACUUCAUAUAUCUAUUUACAAAUAUAUAGGCUUCAUUGGUGCUUUGCCACACAUGAAUUUAGUGACAUGAUACAAUAUUCCUCUCCACAGAUGCAAAGGCACCAGCCCUCAUAUCAAAUCCAUUUUCUGCCCCCACACAAAAAGAGUAUGUCACAGCUCACAUUGCCAAAGAGGGACUGCCUAGAGAUGAUGGGAGACAAAUUUUACCAAUGCUGAAACUGCCUUCUUAAAUGUUUCACUGGUGAAGCUAGAAGGGAUCUAAAGGAUUUUUAUGCCAGUCAGAACUCAUACAAAAACAAAAGAAACAAAUGUUUGUCAAGACAACAAUCUAAAAAUGAAUAAUACCUCAUGUGCACUCAGGUGUUGAG